UCGCCGCCCGUGACUCGGCGAGAAGUCCAUUGAACCUUAUCAUUUAGAGGAAGGAGAAGUCGURACAAGGUUUCCGUAGGUGAACCUGCGGAAGGAUCAUUG
rnacentral:rRNA from 1 species